AUCGAACGCUGGCGGCAGGCUUAACACAUGCAAGUCGAACGUGUGGCGGACGGGUGAGUAAUGCUUGGGAAUUUAGCUUAUGGAGGGGGUUAAUUACGGGUAACUGUAGCAAAUACCGCGUAAGAUAGGAUGAGCCAAAGUGGGAUUAGGUAGUUGGUGAGGUAAAGGCUCACAAAUCCGACGAGCCAUAGCUGGGUUGAGAGGAUGACCAGCCACCCUGGGACUGAGACACGGCCCAGACUCCUACGGGAGGCAGCAGUGGGGAAUAUUGCGCAAGGGGGGCAACCUUACACAGCCAUGCCGCGUUAAUGAAGAAGGCCUUCGGGUUGUAAAGUUCUUUCGGUAGCGAGGCAUUAACUACAGAAGAAGCACCGGCUAACUCCGUGCCAGCAGCCGCGGUAAUAC
rnacentral:rRNA from 1 species